rnacentral:rRNA from 1 species
GAUGAACGCUGGCGGCGUGCCUAAUACAUGCAAGUCGAGCGAACGGACGAGAAGCUUGCUUUUCUGAUGUUAGCGGCGGACGGGUGAGUAACACGUGGAUAACCUACCUAUAAGACUGGGAUAACUUCGGGAAACCGGAGCUAAUACCGGAUAAUAUUUUGAACCGCAUGGUUCAAAAGUGAAAGACGGUCUUGCUGUCACUUAUAGAUGGAUCCGCGCUGCAUUAGCUAGUUGGUAAGGUAACGGCUUACCAAGGCAACGAUGCAUAGCCGACCUGAGAGGGUGAUCGGCCACACUGGAACUGAGACACGGUCCAGACUCCUACGGGAGGCAGCAGUAGGGAAUCUUCCGCAAUGGGCGAAAGCCUGACGGAGCAACGCCGCGUGAGUGAUGAAGGUCUUCGGAUCGUAAAACUCUGUUAUUAGGGAAGAACAUAUGUGUAAGUAACUGUGCACAUCUUGACGGUACCUAAUCAGAAAGCCACGGCUAACUACGUGCCAGCAGCCGCGGUAAUACGUAGGUGGCAAGCGUUAUCCGGAAUUAUUGGGCGUAAAGCGCGCGUAGGCGGUUUUUUAAGUCUGAUGUGAAAGCCCACGGCUCAACCGUGGAGGGUCAUUGGAAACUGGAAAACUUGAGUGCAGAAGAGGAAAGUGGAAUUCCAUGUGUAGCGGUGAAAUGCGCAGAGAUAUGGAGGAACACCAGUGGCGAAGGCGACUUUCUGGUCUGUAACUGACGCUGAUGUGCGAAAGCGUGGGGAUCAAACAGGAUUAGAUACCCUGGUAGUCCACGCCGUAAACGAUGAGUGCUAAGUGUUAGGGGGUUUCCGCCCCUUAGUGCUGCAGCUAACGCAUUAAGCACUCCGCCUGGGGAGUACGACCGCAAGGUUGAAACUCAAAGGAAUUGACGGGGACCCGCACAAGCGGUGGAGCAUGUGGUUUAAUUCGAAGCAACGCGAAGAACCUUACCAAAUCUUGACAUCCUUUGACAACUCUAGAGAUAGAGCCUUCCCCUUCGGGGGACAAAGUGACAGGUGGUGCAUGGUUGUCGUCAACUCGUGUCGUGAGAUGUUGGGUUAAGUCCCGCAACGAGCGCAACCCUUAAGCUUAGUUGCCAUCAUUAAGUUGGGCACUCUAAGUUGACUGCCGGUGACAAACCGGAGGAAGGUGGGGAUGACGUCAAAUCAUCAUGCCCCUUAUGAUUUGGGCUACACACGUGCUACAAUGGACAAUACAAAGGGCAGCGAAACCGCGAGGUCAAGCAAAUCCCAUAAAGUUGUUCUCAGUUCGGAUUGUAGUCUGCAACUCGACUACAUGAAGCUGGAAUCGCUAGUAAUCGUAGAUCAGCAUGCUACGGUGAAUACGUUCCCGGGUCU